CAGUCGCCACGGUAAUACGUAGGGUGCAAGCGUUAAUCGGAAUUAUUGGGCGUAAAGCGUGCGCAGGCGGUUAUAUAAGUCAGAUGUGAAAUCCCCGGGCUCAACCUGGGAACUGCAUUUGAGACUGGCAAGCUAGAGUGUGGCAGAGGGGGGUGGAAUUCCGCGUGUAGCAGUGAAAUGCGUAGAUAUGCGGAGGAACACCGAUGGCGAAGGUAGCCCCCUGGGCCAACACUGACGCUCAUGCACGAAAGCGUGGGGAGCAAACAGGAUUAGAUACCCCUGUAGUCCCUGUCUCUUAUAA
rnacentral:rRNA from 1 species